rnacentral:rRNA from 1 species
AGUGAACGCUGGCGGUAGGCCUAACACAUGCAAGUCGAACGGCAGCACAGUAAGAGCUUGCUCUUACGGGUGGCGAGUGGCGGACGGGUGAGGAAUACAUCGGAAUCUACUUUUUCGUGGGGGAUAACGUAGGGAAACUUACGCUAAUACCGCAUACGACCUACGGGUGAAAGCAUGGGAUCUUCGGACCUUGCGCGAUUGAAUGAGCCGAUGUCGGAUUAGCUAGUUGGCGGGGUAAAGGCCCACCAAGGCGACGAUCCGUAGCUGGUCUGAGAGGAUGAUCAGCCACACUGGAACUGAGACACGGUCCAGACUCCUACGGGAGGCAGCAGUGGGGAAUAUUGGACAAUGGGCGCAAGCCUGAUCCAGCCAUACCGCGUGGGUGAAGAAGGCCUUCGGGUUGUAAAGCCCUUUUGUUGGGAAAGAAAAGCAGCAGGUUAACACCCCGCUGUUCUGACGGUACCCAAAGAAUAAGCACCGGCUAACUUCGUG